CCUACGGGUGGCAGCAGUGGGGAAUUUUGCGCAAUGGGGGCAACCCUGACGCAGCAACGCCGCGUGAGUGAUGAAGGCCUUCGGGUCGUAAAGCUCUGUCAGAGGGGAAGAAAUGCAGGUGGUGAACAACCAUUCUGUUUGACGGUACCCUCAAAGGAAGCACCGGCUAACUCCGUGCCAGCAGCCGCGGUAAUACGGAGGGUGCGAGCGUUGUUCGGAAUUAUUGGGCGUAAAGCGCGUGUAGGCGGUUUGUUAAGUCUGAUGCAAAAGCCCCGGGCUCAACCUGGCAAGUGCAUUGGAUACUGGCAGACUUGAGUACGGGAGAGGAGAGUGAAAUUCCCGGUGUAGGAGUAAAAUCCGUAGAUAUUGGGAGGAACACCGGUGGCGAGGGCGGCUCUCUGGACCGAUCCUGACGCUGAGACGCGAAAGCGUGGGGAGCAACCAGGUUUAGAUCCCCCUGUAGU
rnacentral:rRNA from 1 species